rnacentral:rRNA from 1 species
GACGUAGGGCGCGAGCGUUGUCCGGAUUUAUUGGGCGUAAAGAGCUCGUAGGCGGCUUGUCGCGUCGACUGUGAAAUCUCAGGGCUCAACUCUGACAUUGCAGUCGGUACGGGCAGGCUAGAGUUCGGUAGGGGAGACUGGAAUUCCUGGUGUAGCGGUGAAAUGCGCAGAUAUCAGGAGGAACACCGGUGGCGAAGGCGGGUCUCUGGGCCGAUACUGACGCUGAGGAGCGAAAGCGUGGGGAGCGAACAGG